rnacentral:rRNA from 1 species
UCGCUCCUACCGAUGAAUGGUCCGGUGAGGAUUUAGGAGGACCGCAGAUCCUGGUUUAUUCCACUCUGUUGUUUGUCCAAAUUCAUUCAAACCUUAUCAUUUAAAGGAAGGAG